GAACUUUGGGCCUGAUCUGAAGCCCACUGUAAUCAAUGGGAAUCUUUCCACUGACUUGACUGAGCUUUGGAACAAGCCCUUAGUCC
rnacentral:pre_miRNA from 1 species